AGAGUUUGAUCCUGGCUCAGGACGAACGCUGACGGUGUGCUUUAGGCAUGCAAGUCGAACGAGAAAGCCCUUCGGGGUGAGUAGAGUGGCGAACGGGUGAGUAACACGUGGGCAACCUGCCCCUCGCAGGGGGAUAACCGGAGGAAACUCCGGCUAAUACCCCGUAAGCUUUCAGGGUCGCAUGGUCCUGUAAGGAAAGGUAGCUUCGGCCAUCCGGCGAGGGAUGGGCCCGCGGUGCAUUAGCUAGUUGGUGGGGUAAAGGCCCACCAAGGCGACGAUGCGUAGCUGGUCUGAGAGGAUGAUCAGCCACACUGGGACUGAGACACGGCCCAGACUCCUACGGGAGGCAGCAGCCAGGAAUCUUGGGCAAUGGGCGAAAGCCUGACCCAGCAACACCGUGUGGGCGAUGAAGGCCUUCGGGUCGUAAAGCCCUGUUGAUAGGGACGAAGGGCGAAGGGUUAAGAGCCCCUAGCCUGACGGUACCUUUCGAGGAAGCCCCGGCUAACUACGUGCCAGCAGCCGCGGUAAUACGUAGGGGGCGAGCGUUGUCCGGAAUUAUUGGGCGUAAAGAGCGUGUAGGCGGUUCGGUAAGUCUGCCGUGAAAACCUGAGGCUCAACCUCGGGCGUGCGGUGGAUACUGCCGGGCUAGAGGACGGUAGAGGCGAGUGGAAUUCCCGGUGUAGCGGUGAAAUGCGCAGAUAUCGGGAGGAACACCAGUAGCGAAGGCGGCUCGCUGGGCCGUUCCUGACGCUGAGACGCGAAAGCUAGGGGAGCGAACAGGAUUAGAUACCCUAGUAGUCC
rnacentral:rRNA from 1 species